AUACGGAGGGUGCGAGCGUUACUCGGAGUCACUGGGCGUAAAGCGUCCGUAGGCGGUCGGGUAAGUCGGGUGUGAAAGCCCCGGGCUCAACCUGGGAAGUGCACCCGAUACUGCUCGACUCGAGUGCGGGAGAGGAUGGCGGAAUUCCCGGUGUAGCGGUGAAAUGCGUAGAGAUCGGGAGGAACACCAGUGGCGAAGGCGGCCAUCUGGCCCGCAACUGACGCUGAGGGACGAAAGCGUGGGGAGCAAACAGGGUUAGAUACCCUAGUAGUCC
rnacentral:rRNA from 1 species